GGAAUCUUGCACAAUGGGGGAAACCCUGAUGCAGCGACGCCGCGUGAGCGAUGAAGUCCUUCGGGAUGUAAAGCUCUUUCGACGGGAACGAUAAUGACGGUACCCGGAGAAGAAGCUGCGGCUAACUACGUGCCAGCAGCCGCGGUAAUACGUAGGCAGCAAACGUUGUUCGGAAUUACUGGGCGUAAAGAGUGUGUAGGCGGCUUUGUUAGUCUGGUGUGAAAUCUCCCGGCUUAACUGGGAGGGUGCGCUAGAAACUGCAGAGCUCGAGUAUCGGAGAGGAAAGCGGAAUUCCUGGUGUAGCGGUGAAAUGCGUAGAUAUCAGGAGGAACACCGGUGGUGUAGACGGCUUUCUGGACGAUCACUGACGCUGAGACACGAAAGCGUGGGGAGCAAAC
rnacentral:rRNA from 1 species